UGAAGGGGGUAGGGGGAGGGUCUGGGGGUGUUGUAGGCGGCCCCGGGGUUGGGGGGGGUUUGGGGGUGCCUUGGGAAGGGUCCGAGGUGGCUGGGGGGAGGGGCAGUGGAGCAGAGGGAGGGUCUGUGUGAUAGAACAGAAUGUGUUUUGUUCACAAAAGAAGAACAGGAAGUUAACCACCCAGAUCGAGAUGGAAACCGCAUGUAAAUAUGUUCUUGCUUAAUAUGUGCUUGCCCAAUAAGUUUCACGUUCCAGGAACCCAGGCAAGCAAGAUCCUCGAGGAAGACUGCUAGCCUUCAUCAUGGCGACCACCAGGAGGCAGAGAAAGGCCCCCUAGCAACACAUCGCACAUGCGCAGAGUACUACAGGAAGGACACGUCAGCGGGAAAGGACGUACUAUAAAAGGAAGAACUGGGACUUGCUUGGGCGCGGCCGUUGGCAGAGCGGAGACUCCCCUGUCGCCCAGCGCUGAUAUUUGCCUAUACCUUGCUAUAAUUAAUAAAAUUCUUGAUUUGGUUAUAGCGAUUUAGCAUGUUCAAAAUUUAUCACAAUUGGUGCCAUGACUCGGAUGCAGCAGGCAUGAUAGAAUUCUUGGUUCUACUUGGGAGGCGCCCCGCCUAUUAAUUUUUGGCAGCCCUGGUAGACCAAUUUCUGCCCCAGUUGCACCGACGAACCCAAAUUCAAGGUAGUAGGCAAAGGAGGCCGGCAGACCCUAUAAACUUUGUGCACAAAGGUCCGGACGAAGACGCAGGACACAAACUGCAGUCCGGACAGCUGAAAAGGGAUGGACCCAUGCCAGCCGUAUUAAAGGACCAGUGGAAGGGCCAGCUCCUGAGUGGCAAGUAGUUGGAGACCCAGGGGACUUAAAGCUGAAAAUACAAAGAAGAAAAGAAACUGUAAACUGAGUAGAUACCAGACUCGGGCUACACAAAGGAGGGGGAGGGGUUGAUCUGUAACUUAAAUGUCACGAUAGGACAACCCGGGUGUGAUUGUUAUCCUUGUAAAAUUUGUGGAGACAAGUGGUAGAAGCGUUGCAGGCGGGGGAUCCCAACUAGGGGAGUUUGUGGUUCUGGCUGGAAUUUUUAGCGUGACAUAUCCAAUUGAGCUGAAUUCUUUAAUAACAAAAGCCAUUGGUGUCGAACUCGCUUGGGAAAAGUCCAGUGCAGUAUACCUCCCAUUAAACGACAGAAUCGGAAUUCUUAUGUUAAGAGGCAACAUACGUUGUCCCAGUGGGCUCCUGAAGAAUAUCCCUGCUGCCGAGAAGAUGGUAUCCCUCGUGGCUCAAAGCAACCAAGUCGACGAGCGAGGCAGAGGGGUAAAAGACUGUGGAAAAAAGAAACCCCAAACUGGGACACUAAAGGAAUGUUUACAGAACUGCCUCGAGAAUGGGAUUAAAGACAGGAAUCCCAGUGGGGGGGACAGGGUGCGACUUGGGAAAAUGGAAAACUCCGGGGCUUUCCUCAUCCACCGCGCCAAUGGUUAUCACUUGACUCUGCAAAUUAUUGUUUCAUGUUUUAUGCUGUUAGUAAGGAAGGGGGUAGAAGCAGAUGAACACCUGCCCCACCAGCCAUUUAAAUGGUCCUUAAUACGAUGGGAAGAUCAACAAGUACUGCAAACCAAGAUUACCCCUGGUGCCCCUAGCUUCACCUGUUAUUUAUGUGACAUUAUACCUACUAAGCCCUGCUUAAAUUUAUAUGGCUUUUACUUCUGUCCAAGCUCAAACCCAGGGAAAGGGUAUUGUAAUUACCCCGGACAUUAUUAUUGUGCUUACUGGGGUUGUGAAACCAUUGCUUUGGAUUGGAAAGUUAGUAAUCCAGACAACUAUUUAAAGGUGGGAUGGGGACCCUAUGGUUGUGAACCCCCAGAACAUUCAGGUGGAGGUUUUACAAAAGUAGGGACUUGUAGUUGGAUUUAUAUCAAUAUUACCCAACCAGAGGACCAAGCAUGGUUAAUAGGAAAGAUCUGGGGGGCUAGGUUGUGGGAACCAGGGACGGAUAGAGGCGGACAUUUUCUCAUUAGAAAAGAACCAGUUCAUCAAGGUUCGGAACUCAUAGGCUCUAAUGAAGUUUUGGAGGAAGCCAAUUCCGAUGUAAGAACAGGGAACCACUCGACCUGGGAAUUAAAAAAAUGAGAAUAGCACCUCCCUCAUGAAUCAUGAAAAUAUUACUACUAAUACACACCCAGAAUAUGGCACAAUGUGGAAAAUAAUGCAAGCCAGUUAUGGUAUUUUAAAUAAAACUAACCCUGGCUUGGCAAAAGAGUGCUGGCUUUGUUACAAUAUCCGGCCCCCCCUUCUAGGAAGCUAUUGGGGUAACAGCAAAAGCAAAGGGAACAAAUGAAGCUAACCCAAGGGAAUGCCUCUGGAAAAAGACCAAGGAAAGUACUCGGGGAAUAACCCUCUCCCGGCUAACAGGGCAGGGACAACGUGUGGGUACUGUUCCCCCGACAAGAAACAUCUAUGUAACAUCACAGUGGAAAAUCCAGGGCAAAAACAGAAGGCAGACUGGUUGCUUCCAGCCUUCAACACCCGAUGGGUUUGUCAGAAUAUAGGAGUCACUCCCUGUCUAUCUUUAAAAAUCUUGAAUUAUACCUCUGACUAUUGUAUUCAAGUGGCCAUUAUACCAAAAAUUACUUACCAUUCAAGGAGCUAUGUCCGUGAACAACACACGACUCUGGAACAUCAUCUCCAGAAAAGAGAACCUUUCACUGCUCUAACCAUAGCAACUCUCUUAACUAUAGGAGGGGUGGGAGCUGGAACCGGGAUAACCUCACUAGUGAACCAGCAAAAAGAGUUUAGAGCAUUGAAGCUUUCUGUGGAUGAAGAUUUAAGCAAAAUAGAACAACAGAUUGAUGGGCUAGUGGAAUCAGUAAGAUCACUAUCAGAGGUAGCAUUGCAAAAUCGUAGAGGUUUGGACUUGCUAUUUUUACAACAAAGGGGUCUUUGUGUUGCACUAAAAGAAGAAUGUUGUUCUUAGGCAGACCAUACGGGAAUGGUAGUCGAUUCUGUGAAUGAGCUGAAGAAACAGAUAGACCAGCGAAAAAAGGAAGGAGAGGUACAUCAGAGUUGGUACGAAAAUUGGUUUAGUUACUCUCCUUGGUUGACCACACUGCUUUCAACCAUCGCAGGGCCAGUAAUUUUGUUGGUACUGGGACUUACCUUUGGGCCAUGUAUAUUCAAUAAAUUGAUUUCUAUAGUAAAGAGUCGCUUAGAAGCUGCACAUCUUAUGCUUAUUAGAGCUAAAUAUGAGCAGGUACCUGAAGAUGAGACACUGGAGACCCUAGAAUUAGCCAGACAGGAAUUGCAAAGAUUUAGUGAACAAAAAUGAUUAAGAGAAAUGGAGGAUUGUGAUAGAACAGAAUGUGUUUUGUUCACAAAAGAAGAACAGGAAGUUAACCACCCAGAUCGAGAUGGAAACCGCAUGUAAAUAUGUUCUUGCUUAAUAUGUGCUUGCCCAAUAAGUUUCAAGUUCCAGCAACCCAGGCAAGCAAGAUCCUCGAGGAAGACUGCUAGCCUUCAUCAUGGCGACCACCAGGAGGCAGAGAAAGGCCCCCUAGCAACACAUCGCACAUGCGCAGAGUACUACAGGAAGGACACGUCAGCGGGAAAGGACGUACUAUAAAAGGAAGAACUGGGACUUGCUUGGGCGCGGCCGUUGGCAGAGCGGAGACUCCCCUGUCGCCCAGCGCUGAUAUUUGCCUAUACCUUGCUAUAAUUAAUAAAAUUCUUGAUUUGGUUAUA